AUUGAACGCUGGCGGCAUGCCUUACACAUGCAAGUCGAACGGCAGCACGGGAGCAAUCCUGGUGGCGAGUGGCGAACGGGUGAGUAAUAUAUCGGAACGUGCCCAGUCGUGGGGAUAACGUAGCGAAAGCUACGCUAAUACCGCAUACGAUCUAUGGAUGAAAGCGGGGGGAUCGCAAGACCUCGCGCGAUUGGAGCGGCCGAUAUCAGAUUAGGUAGUUGGUGAGGGUAAAGGCUCACCCAAAGCCGACGAUCUGUAGCUGGUCUGAGAGGACGACCAGCCACACUGGGACUGAGACACGGCCAGACCUCCUACGGAGGCAGCAGU
rnacentral:rRNA from 1 species